GAGUGGGCCAGACGGUCGCGUGCCCUCGCGGCGCGAGGAAAGUCCGGGCUCCAAAGGGCAGGAUGCCAGCUAACGGCUGGGCGGGGCGACCCGACGGACAGUGCCACAGAAAAGAAGACUCCCCCGCUUGAGCGGGAGAAAAGCUGAAACGGUGCGGUAAGAGCGCACCAGCGCGUUGGCAACAGCGCGGCUUGGCAAACCCCAUCCGGAGCAAGCGCAAAUAGGAACGCGAUACGGCCGCCCUUCCGUGCGUUCGGGUUGCGUGCUAGAGACGCCUGGCGACAGGCGUUCGAGAUAAAUGGCCGUCCCACGACAGAACCCGGCUUAUCGGCCCGCUCG
rnacentral:RNase_P_RNA from 1 species